GUCCACGCCAUAAACGAUGAGAACUAGAUGUUGGGAGGGUUAGCCUCUCGGUGUCGCAGCUAACGCGUUAAGUUCUCCGCCUGGGGAGUACGGCCGCAAGGUUGAAACUCAAAGGAAUUGACGGGGACCCCGCACAAGCGGUGGAGCAUGUGGUUUAAUUCGAUGCAACGCGAAGAACCUUACCUGGCCUUGACAUCCUCGGAACUUGUCAGAGAUGACUUGGUGCCUUCGGGAACCGAGAGACAGGUGCUGCAUGGCUGUCGU
rnacentral:rRNA from 1 species